rnacentral:lncRNA from 1 species
CUGGAUCCUUUUCUCCUCUAGCUACCAUCCUUGUUUCUCCCCUUCACAGCCACAUGUAUGAAAAAGUUGUCUUGGGAGGCCAAGGUGGGUGGAUCACUUGAGGUCAGGAGUUUGAGACCAGCCUGGCCAACAUGGUAAAACCCCACCUCUACUAAAACUACAAAAAUUGGCUGGGCAUGGUGGUGCACGCCUGUAGUCCCAGCUACUCAGGAAGCUGAGGCAGGAGAAUCGCUUGAACCCAGGAGGUGGAGGUUGCAG